UGAAAUCCAUGGAACGUAAAAUAAUAAUAUCAAUUUAAAAAAAAACGUAUGAGCUUAGAAAACAGCUGUUAAAAAAAAUGUUAUUUUUCCUCCGACUGUACGGACUAAGGAGGAAACGGAGUAAACAGAGAGCUUCGCCGGAAUCAUAAGGGGGAAAAUGGGGGUGAUUUUGAGCGCGUUUGAUGUAUGAGUAAGUGAUUUGAAUUUUAGACCUCAAUUUUUUUUUGAGUGAUUCAACAUGUUUUGUAAGUGAUUCAGAUUAAUUUGUUAAGUUGUGGUAAAAUUUGGAUUAACAUGAGAAAAAUCCAAUCUCCCUAGUGUUUGUUUUAGGCUCGUUUGUGCUUCACAUUAUGCGAUUAUAUCCUUAAUUAGGAGUUUGUGGAAAAGGAAUAGUGGAGAUGGAUUCAGAAAGUAAUUAAGUAAACGAGCUGAUUGGAUUCCAAUCAAUGGAAAAAAAAAAAAAACUGAAUAUGAUGAAAAUUGGAGAUAGAAAUAUUAGGGUUUUUUUUUUUUUUUAAUUUUGGGACUAAGAUAAGAGUGGCAAUUGAACUUCAAUUUUAGAUUAGGAUAGAUUAUUGAACAAUGAUUGCUAAAAAUGCUGUGAAAUAAAUCCAAGUGUAAAUGAGAUGAUUUGAUAUGCUAAGCACUAAAAUUAUUAAUUACAUUUAUAUCUGGACAGCGUUGUUAGAAUGCCUUGGGCUUUUGCUUGGUGAAAAAAGGAUAGAGAAGGGUAAGAACAGAAAAAGUGUUUAAUCCGAUGAAAGAAGUUAUGGGAUCUAACCAUUAGAUUCAAAGUUUUUGCAUCCAUACUCAGUUUCUAUCCUUCCUACCAAGCAAAGCUUUGAAGGUUGCAAUUGAGUCGUGUUAUUACUUACCAAGUGUUUAGAAUUCAGGAGGCAACACAAAUACCAAAAAAGAACUGAAUCAUUCUUACCUUUCUACUAUUGUGCUUGGAAUGGAAGAGCCUAUUCGAGUACUUUAUAUAAAAUAUUUGUUUGUUGAUUGGCUCGUGUGUGACUGCUGACUCCAAUAUUGAUGCAAAAACCUGGAUAAUUUAUUGCUUUGACAUAAAGAUUUCUGCCACUCAAGUUGAGGGAGGUGGGGACACAAACACUUUGCUAGUUUAUUCUUAAUGGUAUUAUGUUCUCCUAACCAUAUGCAUAAAUACCCGAUAACAUAUUUGAUUAAAGCUAAAAGCAUUUGUAGCGUUUUGCCUUUUAAAAAGUCUAAUGUAUGAGCACAAACUCUGUUGCUUUUCCUUCAUACAGACUUCUUAAUUGAAUCAAUGAAUCUUUUGUCUGCAAUGUCGUUGCUUGAGAUGUAAUCAAGAAAAUCUCUGAAACUGAACUCGUUGUAGGAGACAGGAUGUUGCUCAUCCACAAGCUCUGGUGCUGGUCCUAUUUUCUUGUUUAUAGGUAGACUGUGAAGACUAGCUAUGGACAACCGCUUGUUCUCCGCGCUUAGAGUCACUUGAUGAACAACACUCUUGUACUGUCCAUUGCUCAUCACUUCUAUUUGAUCUCCCAAUUGGACUAGUAAGGCGCCUUCAAC
rnacentral:lncRNA from 1 species